rnacentral:tRNA from 1 species
GGCUGAACUGGCUGAAAAUGCUCAGUUGUCGGCUGACUUUUAAUCAGCGGGUCACGGGUUCGAGUCCCGUACGGUCCACCA